UUUUUUUUUUUUCCCGGGGAGUCGGCCUCGGGGCUCUGCUCUCCUACCUCAGUCUGCCCUACCCUGGAAUGGGGAAAAUGCGGACAUGCCACUCAGUCCGGCCGCGAACAGUGCUCCAGAACUCAGAGAGUUUUCCAGACGGGUGGAGAUCGCGUUCCCUGCCCGCCGAGGUCCCAUCGCUUCCCUGCUGGGAAGACAAAUGAGGCGCUUUAGCCGUCUCCACGGCCAGCCCCUCCCUCAUAACCCGAGAUUCUUUGUGGGCUCUUAGUCCAUAGCUGCCUUUGAGGUGGUGUAGACCUUGCUAACCAGGACGGCCCAGUAGGCAGAGCUCAUUUUUAUUCCUGUCUGCAAUCGUGCAAAAACGCCUCUUAUGGAAAAGCCAGAGCGCCAGGAGUCAGCAAAACACACUAAAGAUUGGGCAGUCACUGGGGAGAACGUGAGUAAAAGCACAGGAACAGCAAAGCGUUCAGGAACGUUCGAGGCUGACGCAACCGGCGCAGGAAGGUGGUGUGUGGUGGGAGAGUGGGAGGAGACAGUGGAAAGUUUAGACUUGCUUCUGUAAGUGAUAAGAAGUCAUCAGAUAUUUUCAAGCAGGAGAGGAAAAUAAUCUCUCUGUUUCGCAAAGUUAACUCUCAUGGCAACAGAGCAGAGUAGCGGGGGGAUGGGGGCUGGGAGAUGUUGGGAAGCUAUUGUUACCACUCUGGUGAAGAGUCAUGGGACCUCAAAAGCUGGGAUAGUCACGGUGGGAAUGGAAAGGAAGGGCACAAGCUGAGAGGCAUUUGGGAGGAGAAUCAAUAGCACUUUAUUGACUGGAUGUGUGAGAUGAGUGAGGACAGCAAUCAGAAGAGGACUUUGAGGUUUCUAGCCUGAGUGGCUGGAAGGACACCACUUCCCCUACCUGAAAUAGGUAGCAAAAAGGAGAGAGAAAGAGAGAAGCAGAGGGAUUUUGCAAAGGGAAUAGGAGUUCAGUUUUUGACAUGUGGCAUUUGAAUUGCAAGAAGUACAUCCCUGUGGAUGUAAUACCCAGUAGACAGUUGGGAAUUAGGAUCUGGUGUCGAGAAGAAAAGUAGAGAUGAGAUCCAAAGGGUUUAUAGUGGAUCGGGAGAGAAAUUGAUGACCUAAAGAGAAAUUAUAGAAUAAGAAGAUUUGGGCAGGGCACGGUGGCUCAUGCCUGUAAUCCCAGCAUUUUGGGAGACCAAGGUAGGAGGAUUGCUUGAGCCCAGGAGUUUGAGACCAGCCUGGGCAACAUGGUGAGACCCCGACUCUACAAAAACUGCAAAAA
rnacentral:lncRNA from 1 species